AGAACGAACGCUGGCGGCAUGCCUAAUACAUGCAAGUCGAACGAACUCUUCGGAGUUAGUGGCGCACGGGUGCGUAACGCGUGGGAAUCUGCCCCUUGGUUCGGAAUAACAGUUGGAAACGACUGCUAAUACCGGAUGAUGACGAAAGUCCAAAGAUUUAUCGCCAAGGGAUGAGCCCGCGUAGGAUUAGCUAGUUGGUGAGGUAAAGGCUCACCAAGGCAACGAUCCUUAGCUGGUCUGAGAGGAUGAUCAGCCACACUGGGACUGAGACACGGCCCAGACUCCGACGGGAGCAGCAGUAGGGAAUAUGGACAAUGGGCGAAAGCCUGAUCCGAGACAAUGCCGCGUGAAGUGAUGAAGGCCGUUAGGUUAGUAAAGCUCUUUUACCCGAGUA
rnacentral:rRNA from 1 species